rnacentral:rRNA from 1 species
GAAAGAAAGAUUAAUACCGGAUGGCAUACGAAUAUCGCAUGAUAUUGUUAUUAAAGAAUUUCGGUUAUCGAUGGGGAUGCGUUCCAUUAGUUUGUUGGCGGGGUAACGGGCUACCAAGACUACGAUGGAUAGGGGUUCUGAGAGGAAGGCCCCCCACAUUGGAACUGAGACACGGUCCAAACUCCUACGGGAGGCAGCAGUGAGGAAUAUUGGUCAAUGGGCGAGAGCCUGAACCAGCCAAGUAGCGUGAAGGAUGAAGGCUCUAUGGGUCGUAAACUUCUUUUAUAUGGGAAUAAAGUUUUCCACGUGUGGAAUUUUGUAUGUACCAUAUGAAUAAGGAUCGGCUAACUCCGUGCCAGCAGCCGCGGUAAUACGGAGGAUCCGAGCGUUAUCCGGAUUUAUUGGGUUUAAAGGGAGCGUAGGUGGAUUGUUAAGUCAGUUGUGAAAGUUUGCGGCUCAACCGUAAAAUUGCAGUUGAACUGGCAGCCUUGAGUACAGUAGAGGUGGGCGGAAUUCGUGGUGUAGCGGUGAAAUGCUUAGAUAUCACGAAGAACUCCGAUUGCGAAGGCAGCUCACUAGACUG